UUCUUUCGCUCUUUUCGAUCCUCUAAAUGUGUUAUUAUGUUCAUUCGAUGUUCCUACAAUGCAUUUAAUUACAUGAAACUUAACAAAUCGAAUAAUUGAGAAAUAAGAGGAAACUAAGGAAAGGUGAUGUACUUACGAGUUGAGUGCUAUGUGUAGGGCACGUACAGGAGGGGACCAGCGCUAACCCGCAUCACUAUGAGUGAUAGUAGUGUGACCAGGUCACAGGACAACCUUUGGUCAGCCCAGGAGCCUUUUGCUGGACCCGUUUUGCUGAGUCACUUGAAGUGACUCUUUUGUUUAUUUUUGGGAAACCCGUAUGUUGACAUAUUUUGUUGGAUUUCAGAAGAAUAGACAUGUGUAUAUAUUGUCAAUACUUGACUUUUGGGUCGUCCCCCUUUUUCACAUCCAGUAAUGUAAAUGGUGUAUGGAAUGUUAUGUACUUAUGUAUGGUAAUGCAUUAAGAUCCUGGCAUCUAGUCACAGCUCAAUGAAUGUUUUAUUCUAUUA